ensembl:snRNA U6 U6 spliceosomal RNA
GUGCUCACUUUGGCAGCACAUAUACUAAAAUUUUAACGAUACAGAGAACAUUAGCCUGGCCCCUGCGCAAGGAUGGUAUGCAAAUUCAUAAAGUAUUCCAUUUUUUU